CCCCAAGAAAUAUGGCUUAUAGUGUUAGGGAGAGGAACAAAAAGAAGCUGAAGAGAUGAGAAAAGAUAGUAAAACCAAACCUCUAGCUCCAGAAAAAUGGCAUUACUGCCGUCAUAAUUGCAGGUUUUUUUAAAAUGGCCUGAUCUGUGCAUGAGGAGCUGUCCUUUCAUGCAAACACUGUAACUUUUUGAGCUUAAAGGCCAUGCCAUGUGUUCAUGAAUUUUAAUGUAAACAAAAUCAGCUGCCUUUUCUUUUUUUUUUUUCCACAGUUUUUAAGAUCUCUCUUUUCUUUGUUGUGUGGGGUGAGGGGCAAAGGAACAAAAUGGCCAAAGUAUGAGAUGCAGCGUGCUGGUACAUGCAGUUUUGUCUCCAGCUGAAUCCUAUCCUCCAUGCUCUAAAGAUAUCACAUUUACAACAAAGAGAUUUGAGAGACUGGGACCAAAUAAGUACUUUGAGCACAGCCUUUCCAAACCACCACUAAGAGAAAAAGAAUGUGAAAUGAGAGUAGCCCUUGACUCUUCACAGGUUUCACAGAGAAGGUAGAGCUCGCUCCUUGCUCUGUAGCGAUGUAUUGACAGACUUUUGGCUAAAGUGUGGCAGCUCCAGCUCCAUACCAAUUAGCCUCAAAUAUUCAGGCCAAGGUGACCUGUCAGAGGAGCUCAAAAAGGAGUCUUACAAAGUAUCAUCUGCAGAAGAUAGCAACCAUUUUCUUACAUCUUUUCUGUCCUGUGGAUUCCUCAGUCACAGAAGGGAAUGUGCUCCUAGCACAGUUAUUUUGAAGGAGAGCUGAUUUUGCAGGGUACCUCCCAUCCCAAAACCUUUACUUUUGAAGCUCUGCUGCUAGCUAAUGAUGUUGAUGCACCAAAAAUGCCAUCUGCCAUUUCAGAACUGACACCUGCCCUGCACAUAGUUUUGAGCAUCUCAUAUGGCAAUGCCAAAGACGCAUUCAGGCUUUUAAUGAGCUACUCAUCUUUCUCUCAAUCCGACUCAAACAUAAUUUUUCUUCUAGUUAGAUAUUUCUGUACAUACAUAACUGUAUAGCUACAGAGAUAUGCUCUGGGAAUUAAAAAAUUCAGACUUCAUGAAUAUUUUUGGGAAGGAGCCUAACUCCUAUUACUUUACAACUUCACUUUGAAAUCUGCAAGACAAGAAGUACCUUCAAUUUAUUUUAUCACUGUAAGGGUACAUAUAUUUUUCUUGUUUAAAACCGAAAAUCUGCAUGAAUAACUACAUUUUGAAGUCUAUUUGCUCUAAAAUAAAAGGAAUUGUGUGACUAGUUUCAAUACCUUCAGUAUAAUGGUAGUGAAACUCCAAAAUUGUAAUAAACAGUGUAAUUUCUUGUAAUAUAUUGAAAUAAUGUUACUAUUAUGAAAAAUUGCGUUUAUGUCACCUGAAUUAAUAUUUGACCCCUUUGAGCUGGAAAUGCCUCUUCAAGCCUGAAGUUCUCCAAGAAAUGACAGUACCAUGACAAAAGUUCUAACUCCUUUUCACAAUCUUCUAACGACAUCUCUUCAGCUAUUAUUAUUUUGGUCCAAAUUCCACUUGACGCAAUCCAUGGACUGAAAUAUGCCUAACUCCGGAAGAACACUGUCUUGAGUGAGCUUCCCACUGAAAUUAAGUUGUUGUAUACAGCCGUGUGUUACCAGGUACAGUGUUUGCUCACCCUGCUGCAUCUACCAUGUAUGUGCUGGAAAAGCCACCCAAAUGAUUUGUAACAAGUUCAGCUGAAUGCUCUCUGCCAGGGAUCAAGCUAUACCGCUCAGUACUGCAGGACAAAUUGAGGCUCUCAAAAAAGCAAAAUGCAGCAGCACUGUUUGAUUACUCUUCUGUAAAAGGACCACUCAAGAGCACAAAACUCUCUCCACUGCCAUGACACAGUAUCAGCGCAACAGGACUAGUUCUUAGGAUUUUUCAAUCACCACUUGAAAUUUCUGUGCUGUAUCUUACUAGCUAAAAGUUAAGAUUAUCCACAUACACUCCUAACUUCUGUUCGUCAUUUCACUUUCAACAUUUAUUUUAAUAUGUAUUUAUAUAUGUUAUAUAUUAAUGCUUAUGUACAACUAUAUGUUUAUAUAUCAACAUAUCUUUUUGUUACCAAAUCUAGUAACAGGCAAAAAUUAUUAUUGUUUCUUUUGUUUCUUAUUUUUGUUUAAGCUCAGUUAGGUUUGCUUCUAGGGAAAUGCCUGGCAUACAUAAAAGAAGAAGGUGGCAGACUCCACAAUGUUCAGGCCAUGUGGGACACAAGUGGUGAGGAAGCAGAGGAGCCCUGGUGCAGUGGGAAGAAUGCAGUUCCUGGGGUAUUACUUUUUGGGCUUGCUAGAUAUUUAAUGUUUCAGACCUUAGAUAUCAAAGUUACUCUUUUUUUUCUUCCUUCUUCUGAGCAAGCUUAAAAGAAUAUAUUUCAAUUCCAAUCCCCACCACUUCCAUGGAGAGGAUUGUUUUAGUUCUGUGAAAUGUUAAAAGUUGUAUGUUAUCUGUUGCAUUGCACUUGUAUAUUCUGUUCAUGAGAAAGGUUAUACAGAAUAUAAAUAAGUCUAAUGAUAAAAAGACAUUGUAAAACAAAGAAAUAUAAAACACCUGAUUUUAAAUUACUUUUGCUUCUCAUUCCUGACACAAGUGAUGAUGUUCAAAACACAGUACUUUUGCAUAAAUAAUUUCCAUUUCAAUGAAUCAGUGCUUGCUAAGGGGAAAAUAUUUACAUCUUUGCUUGUUCUAUCAGCUUCUCGAUUGCAAAUACUGCCUCAAAACAACAACUUAGCAAAAAAUCUUUUGGAAAGCUACAAAAUGUUAAAGAUUUUCUUGGCCUAGAGAGAAAAUCAGAGGGAUGAGACACUCUCAGUUAAUGUGGAAGCACGGCAGCAAUAAAAUGCUGAGUUGACAAAAAUUACUUCCAUUCAGUACAGCAAUCCAAACUGUUUUGGUUCCAAUUAAGCAAAAGAGAAAUGGCAGAAAAUUGGACAAAAAAACAUUGAUAAAAAUACUGAUUAGCUCAACUAAAAAGGCCAGGAUGAAAAGGCUCAACUAUAUAGGAUCAGAGUUGAAUCCUGUAUUUGGAAAUUAGAAGAACUGUGCAAUAAAAUAAAAGUUUAUUAUAUUUA